UACAGAGGGUGCAAGCGUUGUUCGGAAUUAUUGGGCGUAAAGCGCGUGUAGGCGGCUUUGCAAGUCGGGUGUGAAAGCCCUCAGCUCAACUGAGGAAGUGCGCCCGAAACUGCAGAGCUUGAGUACCGGAGAGGAUGGCGGAAUUCCCGAAGUAGAGGUGAAAUUCGUAGAUAUCGGGAGGAGCACCGGUGGCGAAGGCGGCUCUCUGGAACGCAACUGACGCUGAGACGCGAAAGCGUGGGGAGCAAACAGG
rnacentral:rRNA from 1 species